GACAGAGGUCCCGAGUGUUAGGCGGAAUCACUGGGCUUAAAGCGUGUGUAGGCGGAUGCCUAAGUACCUUGUGAAAUCCCACGGCUCACCCGUGGAACUGCUUGGUAUACUGGGUGUCUUGAGCCACUUAGGGGCUACCGGAACAAAUGGUGGAGCGGUGAAAUGCGUAGAUAUCAUUUGGAACGCCAAUGGUGAAAACAGGUAGCUGGGAGUGUGCUGACGCUGAGACACGAAAGCCAGGGGAGCAAACGGG
rnacentral:rRNA from 1 species